rnacentral:rRNA from 1 species
ACGGGUGACUAACGCGUGGGAAUCUACCCAUCUCUACGGAAUAACGCAUGGAAACGUGUGCUUAUACCGUAUACGUCCUUCGGGAGAAAGAUUUAUCGGAGAUGGAUGAGCCCGCGUUGGAUUAGCUAGUUGGUGGGGUAAAGGCCUACCAAGGCGACGAUCCAUAGCUGGUCUGACAGGAUGAUCAGCCACACUGGGACUGAAACACGGCCCAAACUCCUACGGGAGGCAGCAGUGGGGAAUAUUGGACAAUGGGCGCAAGCCUGAUCCUAUCAUGCCGCGUGGGUGAUGAAGGCCCUAGGGUUGUAAAGCUCUUUCACCGGUGAAGAUAAUGACGGUAACCGGAGAAUAAGCCCCGGCUAACUUCGUGCCUACAGCCGCGGUAAUACGAAGGGGGCUAGCGUUGUUCCGAUUUACUGGGCGUAAAGCGCACGUAGGCUGACUAUUAAGUCAGGGGUGAAAUCCCGGGGCUCAACCCCGGAACUGCCUUUGAUACUGGUAGUCUUGAGUUCGAGAGAGGUGAGUGGAAUUCCGAGUGUAGAGGUGAAAUUCGUAGA